UAGGGAAUCUUCGGCAAUGGACGAAAGUCUGACCGAGCAACGCCGCGUGAGUGAAGAAGGUUUUCGGAUCGUAAAACUCUGUUGUUAGAGAAGAACAAGGACGUUAGUAACUGAACGUCCCCUGACGGUAUCUAACCAGAAAGCCACGGCUAACUACGUGCCAGCAGCCGCGGUAAUACGUAGGUGGCACGCGUUGUCCGGAUUUAUUGGGCGUAAAGCGAGCGCAGGCGGUUUCUUAAGUCUGAGGUGAAAGCCCCCGGCUCAACCGGGGAGGGUCAUUGGAAACUGGGAGACUUGAGUGCAGAAGAGGAUAGUGGAAUUCCAUGUGUAGCGGUGAAAUGCGUAGAUAUAUGGAGGAACACCAGUGGCGAAGGCGGCUCUCUGGUCUGUAACUGACGCUGAGGCUCGAAAGCGUGGGGAGCAAACAGG
rnacentral:rRNA from 1 species